GAACAGGCUGCAGGAAUUAGAGGGGUGAGAAAGGAAGAGGAUAGGAGACUGUGUACUAGGUUACCUCAGACCAGACUGGAGGACUUGGCAGAGAGAAGGAGAAGAGGAUAGGAGACUGUGUACUAGGUUACCUCAGACCAGGCUGGAGGACUUGGCAGAGAGAAGGAGAAGAGGAUAGGAGACUGUGUACUAGGUUACCUCAGACCAGACUGGAGGACUUGGCAGAGAGAAGGAGAAGAGGAUAGGAGACUGUGUACUAGGUUACCUCAGACCAGGCUGGAGGACUUGGCAGAGAGAAGGAGAAGAGGAUAGGAGACUGUGUACUAGGUUACCUCAGACCAGGCUGGAGGACUUGGCAGAGAGAAGGAGAAGAGGAUAGGAGACUGUGUACUAGGUUACCUCAGACCAGGCUGGAGGACUUGGCAGAGAGAAGGAGAAGAGGAUAGGAGACUGUGUACUAGGUUACCUCAGACCAGGCUGGAGGACUUGGCAGAGAGAAGGAGAAGAGGAUAGGAGACUGUGUACUAGGUUACCUCAGACCAGACUGGAGGACUUGGCAGAGAGGAGAAGAGGAUAGGAGACUGUGUACUAGGUUACCUCAGACCAGACUGGAGGACUUGGCAGAGAGAAGAGGAUAGGAGACUGUGUACUAGGUUACCUCAGACCAGACUGGAGGACUUGGCAGAGAGGAGAAGAGGAUAGGAGACUGUGUACUAGGUUACCUCAGACCAGACUGGAGGACUUGGCAGAGAGAAGAGGAUAGGAGACUGUGUACUAGGUUACCUCAGACCAGACUGGAGGACUUGGCAGAGAGAAGAGGAUAGGAGACUGUGUACUGGGUUACCUCAGACCAGACUGGAGGACUUGGUAGAGAGAAGGAGAAGAGGAUAGGAGACUGUGUACUAGGUUACCUCAGACCAGGCUGGAGGACUUGGCAGAGAGAAGAGGAUAGGAGACUGUGUACUAGGUUACCUCAGACCAGACUGGAGGACUUGGUAGAGAGAAGGAGAAGAGGAUAGGAGACUGUGUACUAGGUUACCUCAGACCAGACUGCAGGACUUGGCAGAGAGAAGGAGAAGAGGAUAGGAGACUGUGUACUAGGUUACCUCAGACCAGACUGGAGGACUUGGCAGAGAGAAGGAGAAGAGGAUAGGAGACUGUGUACUAGGUUACCUCAGACCAGACUGGAGGACUUGGUAGAGAGAAGGAGAAGAGGAUAGGAGACUGUGUACUAGGUUACCUCAGACCAGACUGGAGGACUUGGCAGAGAGAAGGAGAAGAGGAUAGGAGACUGUGUACUGGGUUACCUCAGACCAGACUGCAGGACUUGGCAGAGAGAAGGAGAAGAGGAUAGGAGACUGUGUACUAGGUUACCUCAGACCAGGCUGCAGGACUUGGCAGAGAGAAGGAGAAGAGGAUAGGAGACUGUGUACUAGGUUACCUCAGACCAGACUGCAGGACUUGGCAGAGAGAAGGAGAAGAGGAUAGGAGACUGUGUACUAGGUUACCUCAGACCAGACUGGAGGACUUGGCAGAGAGGAGAAGAGGAUAGGAGACUGUGUACUAGGUUACCUCAGACCAGGCUGCAGGACUUGGUAGAGAGAAGGAGAAGAGGAUAGGAGACUGUGUACUAGGUUACCUCAGACCAGGCUGGAGGACUUGGCAGAGAGAAGGAGAAGAGGAUAGGAGACUGUGUACUAGGUUACCUCAGACCAGGCUGGAGGACUUGGCAGAGAGAGGUAAUAAUGUUUUUUUUGGGGGGCUUAUAUUUGUCCUGUUACACACGUGUGUAAUGUAAAUGUGUUUCUUGCAUAUCCCAACUCCCCCUGUGGGGUCACAACCAGGGUCACCAUUGUACAGCACCCCUGGAGUAAUUUGGGUUAAGUGCCUUGCUCAAGGGUACAGCGGCAGAUUUUUCACCUUGUCGGCUCCGGUGUCCGAACCAGUGACCUUUUGGUUAUUGGUCCAAUGCUCUAACCUCGAGGUGACCUGCCGAGAAGAGGAGGAAGAGGAGGGGAGAGGAGAGGACAAAGGUGUUCU